CGUAUAUUAAAGUUGUUGCAGUUAGAACGCUCGUAGUCGGAUUUCGGGGCGGUCCGACCGGUCUGCCGAUGGGUACGCACUGGUCGGAGCGUCCUUUUUGCCGGAGACCGUGCCUACUCUUAACUGAGCGGGGGCGGGAGACGGCACUUUUACUUUGAAAAAAUCAGAGUGUUUCAAGCAGGCAGCUCGCUCUUGCAUGGAUUAGCAUGGGAUAAUGAAAUAGGACUUUGGUGCUAUUUUGUUGGUUUCGAACACCGAAGUAAUGAUGAGAAGGGACAGUCAGGGGCACUCGUAUUCCGCCGAGAGAGGUGAAAUUCUCAGACCAGCGGAAGACGAACCACUGCGAAAGCAUUUGCCAGGGAUGUUUUCACUGAUCAAGAACGAAAGUUAGGGGAUCGAAGACGAUCAGAUACCGUCGUAGUCUUAACCAUAAACCAUGCCGACUAGGGAUUGGAGGAUGUUCACUGAUUGACUCCUUCAGCACCUUACGGGAAACUAAAGUCUUUGGGUUCCGGGGGGAGUAUGGUCGCAAGGCUGAAACUUAAA
rnacentral:rRNA from 1 species